rnacentral:ncRNA from 1 species
GGUCAUGAGUUCCAGCGCACAGCCCCGGCUUGCUGGACGGCAACCCUCCACCGCGGUGGGGUGCUCCGGGUGACGACCUGGCCGCCACCAGCACCGGUGUCGGCAAGCGCGGGCC